rnacentral:lncRNA from 1 species
CUUAUUCGCCAGUCAAGGCCAACACUCAAGCUAUGUUAAUUACUAACAUAGUUUUAUCUUGAUCCUUAUGUCAUUAACUUAAUUUAUCAUUCCUUUUGCUAAAAUAUAUAUAGCACCUUACUAAGUAUAUAUAUUUCUAUACAUAUACUCAUCUUCGUUUAACCUCGUAGCAUCUCUUCAUGUGAAAUCUUAUCUCCAAUAAUAAAAUUUCCAUAUGUACUUAUAUAACAUUUCUUAGACUAUUCAGUUCACAUCGAAUUUACAGGUAUCGUAAUACCUUAAUCUUGAUAUUCCUUCAAGUACAUAUUAAUUC